GACGAACGCUGGUGGCGUGCUUAACACAUGCAAGUCGAACGCUGAACCCGCUUCGGUGGGGGAUGAGUGGCGAACGGGUGAGUAACACGUGGGCAACCUGCCCCCGGCUCUGGGAUAACUCCAAGAAAUUGGGGCUAAUACCGGAUGUGACCGCUGGCCGCAUGGUCUGGUGGUGGAAAGGGUUUCCGGCUGGGGAUGGGCCCGCGGCCUAUCAGCUUGUUGGUGGGGUAGUGGCCUACCAAGGCGACGACGGGUAGCCGGCCUGAGAGGGUGACCGGCCACACUGGGACUGAGACACGGCCCAGACUCCUACGGGAGGCAGCAGUGGGGAAUAUUGCGCAAUGGGCGGAAGCCUGACGCAGCGACGCCGCGUGGGGGAUGACGGCCUUCGGGUUGUAAACCUCUUUCAGCAGGGACGAAGCGCAAGUGACGGUACCUGCAGAAGAAGCACCGGCCAACUACGUG
rnacentral:rRNA from 1 species